UGACCGGGAAAGAGCGACCUGGAGUUACUCAACCCGUCAGGUCCGGGAGGAAGCAGCGGAAGUAAUCUCGGGGGUCGGCUUUUACACCCGAUCACCG
rnacentral:SRP_RNA from 1 species